UAACACCGGCAGCCCGAGUGGUGAUCACUAUUAUUGGGUCUAAAGGGUCCGUAGCCGGUUUAAUCAGUCUUCUGGGAAAUCUAAUCGCUUAACUAUUAGGCUUCCAGGGGAUACUGUUAGACUUGGGACCGGGAGAGGUAAGAGGUACUGCAGGGGUAGGAGUGAAAUCUUGUAAUCCCUGUGAGACCACCAGUGGCGAAGGCGUCUUACCAGAACGGGUCCGACGGUGAGGGACGAAAGCUGGGGGCACGAACCGGAUUAGAUACCCGGGUAGUCCCAGCUGUAAACGAUGCUCGUUAGGUGUCAGGAACGGUGCGACUGUUUCUGGUGCCGAAGGGAAGCCGUGAAACGAGCCACCUGGGAAGUACGGCCGCAAGGCUGAAACUUAAAGGAAUUGGCGGGGGAGCACUACAACGGGUGGAGCCUGCGGUUUAAUUGGACUCAACGCCGGAAAACUCACCGGGGGCGACAGCAAUAUGUAGGUCAGGUUAAAGGUCUUACCUGAAUCGCUGAGAGGAGGUGCAUGGCCGUCGUCAGUUCGUACUGUGAAGCAUCCUGUUAAGUCAGGCAACGAGCAAGACCCGUGCCCACUGUUACCAGCAUAUCCUUUAUGGAUGAUGGGGACUCUGUGGGGACCGCUGCUGCUAAAGCAGAGGAAGGUGCGGGCUACGGUAGGUCAGUAUGCCCCGAAUCUCCCGGGCUACACGCGGGCUACAAUGGUUGGGACAAUGGGUAUCUACUCCGAAAGGAGUUGGCAAUCUCUUAAACCCAAUCGUAGUUCGAAUUGAGGGCUGUAACUCGCCCUCAUGAAGCUGGAAUCCGUAGUAAUCGCGUUUCAACAUAGCGCGG
rnacentral:rRNA from 1 species